rnacentral:rRNA from 1 species
CCAGACUCCUACGGGAGGCAGCAGUAGGGAAUUUUGCGCAAUGGGCGAAAGCCUGACGCAGCAACACCGCGUGAAUGUUAAGCCCUUCGGGGUGUAAAGUUCUGUCCAUAGGGACGAAUUUUGACUGUACCUAUAAAGGAAGCACCGGCUAACUCCGUGCCAGCAGCCGCGGUAAUACGUAGGGGGCAAGCGUUAUCCGGAUUUACUGGGUGUAAAGGGAGCGUAGACGGCGAAGAAAGUCUGAAGUGAAAGCCCGCGGCUCAACCGCGGAAUGGCUUUGGAAACUUUUUUGCUGGAGUACCGGAGAGGUAAGCGGAAUUCCUAGUGUAGCGGUGAAAUGCGUAGAUAUUAGGAGGAACACCAGUGGCGAAGGCGGCUUACUGGACGGUAACUGACGUUGAGGCUCGAAAGCGUGGGGAGCAAACAGGAUUAGAUACCCCGGUAGA